rnacentral:tRNA from 1 species
GCCUCUGUAGCUCAGUUGGUAGAGCGAGGGACUGAAAAUCCCCAUGUCACUGGUUCGAUUCCCGUCGGAGGCACCA